AACGAACGCUGGCGACGUGCUUAACACAUGCAAGUCGAACGGGAGUAUCAAAGAAGCUUGCUUUUAAGCUACUUUAGUGGCGGACGGGUGAGUAACGCGUGAGGAGCUGUCCUAUGCAGGCGGACAACAGUUGGAAACGCCUGCUAAUACCCCACAAGCCGAGAGGCAAAAGGAUUUAUCCGGCAAAGGAGGCACUCGCGUCCUAUCAGAUGGUAGGUUGGGGAACCGCCGACCAAGGCGUAGACGGGUAGCCGGCCUGAGAGGGCGAACGGCCACACUGGAACUGAGAUACGGUCCAGACUCCUACGGGAGGCAGCAGUGGGGAAUAUUGGACAAUGGGGGGAACCCUGACCCAGCGACGCCGCGUGGGUGAAGAAAUCCUUCGGGAUGUAAAGCCCUGUUGUAUGGGAAGAGUAGAAGACGGUACCAUACGAGGAAGCCCCGGCAAACUACGUGCCACCCGCCGCCGUAAGAC
rnacentral:rRNA from 1 species